UUAUGGUGGGGACUCAUAGGAGACUGCCGGGGUCAACUCGGAGGAAGGUGGGGAUGACGUCAAGUCAUCAUGCCCCUUAUAUCCAGGGCUUCAAGCAUGCUACAAUGGCCGGUACAAAGGGCUGCGAAACCGCAAGGUGGAGCGAAUCCCAAAAAGCCGGUCUCAGUUCGGAUUGGGGUCUGCAACUCGACCCCAUGAAGUCGGAGUCGCUAGUAAUCGCAGAUCAGCAACGCUGCGGUGAAUACGUUCCCGGGCCUUGUACACACCGCCCGUCACGUCAUGAAAGUCGGCAACACCCGAAGCCAGUGGCCCAACCGUUUACGGAGGGAGCUGUCGAAGGUGGGGCUGGCGAUUGGGACGAAGUCGUAACAAGGUAGCCGUACCGGAAGGUGCGGCUGGAUCACCUCCUUUCUAAGGAGCA
rnacentral:rRNA from 1 species